AUUGAACGCUGGCGGCAGGCCUAACACAUGCAAGUCGAACGAGUGGCGGACGGGUGAGUAAUGUCUGGGAAACUGCCUGAUGGAGGGGGAUAACUACUGGAAACGGUAGCUAAUACAGCAUACCAUCGGAUGUGCCCAGAUGGGAUUGGCUAGUAGGUGGGGUAAAGGCUCACCUAGGCGACGAUCCCUAGCUGGUCUGAGAGGAGGGCCGUCCACACUGGAACUGAGACACGGUCAAGACGCCUACGGGAGUCAGCAGAGGGGAAUAUUGCACAAUGGGCGCAAGCCUAAUGCAGCCAUGCCGCGGGUAUGAAGAAGGCCUCCGGGUUGUAAAGUACUUUCAGCGGGGAGGCGUUACCCGCAGAAGAAGCACCGGCUAACUCCGUGCCAGCAGCCGCGGUAAUUC
rnacentral:rRNA from 1 species